CCAGCAGCCGCGGUAAUACGAAGGGGGCUAGCGUUGCUCGGAAUCACUGGGCGUAAAGGGCGCGUAGGCGGCGUUUUAAGUCGGGGGUGAAAGCCUGUGGCUCAACCACAGAAUGGCCUUCGAUACUGGGACGCUUGAGUAUGGUAGAGGUUGGUGGAACUGCGAGUGUAGAGGUGAAAUUCGUAGAUAUUCGCAAGAACACCGGU
rnacentral:rRNA from 1 species